UACAGAGGGUGCGAGCGUUAAUCGGAAUUACUGGGCGUAAAGCGUGCGCAGACGGUUGCGUAAGUCAGAUGUGAAAGCCCCGGGCUCAACCUGGGAAUUGCAUUUGAGACUGCGUAGCUAGGGUGCGGAAGAGGGAAGCGGAAUUUCCGGUGUAGCGGUGAAAUGCGUAGAUAUCGGAAGGAACACCAGUGGCGAAAAGCGGCUUCCUGGUCCAGCACCGACGUCAGGCACGAAAGCGUGGGGAGCAAACAGG
rnacentral:rRNA from 1 species